rnacentral:rRNA from 1 species
GUACCGUGAGGGAAAGGCGAAAAGAACCCCGGCGAGGGGAGUGAAAAAGAACCUGAAACCGUGUACGUACAAGCAGUGGGAGCACAGAGCAAUCUGUGUGACUGCGUACCUUUUGUAUAAUGGGUCAGCGACUUAUAUUCUGUAGCAAGGUUAACCGAAUAGGGGAGCCGAAGGGAAACCGAGUCUUAACUGGGCGUUAAGUUGCAGGGUAUAGACCCGAAACCCGGUGAUCUAGCCAUGGGCAGGUUGAAGGUUGGGUAACACUAACUGGAGGACCGAACCGACUAAUGUUGAAAAAUUAGCGGAUGACUUGUGGCUGGGGGUGAAAGGCCAAUCAAACCGGGAGAUAGCUGGUUCUCCCCGAAAGCUAUUUAGGUAGCGCCUCGUGAAUUCAUCUCCGGGGGUAGAGCACUGUUUCGGCAAGGGGGUCAUCCCGA